GGAACGUGGAUGGAGCUGGAGGCUACUAUCCUCAGCAGACUAAUGCAGGAACAGAAAACCAAAUGCUGCAUAUCUAAGUGGGAACUGAAUGCCUAGUAUUUGGAAUUUGCCAAAGCUAUAUUCCUCAGAAUUUACCUCAAGAGCUCCUUUGUAUCAGUGGAGGAUGAAGAACGGAGAAGAGGAGGAGGAGGAUGAAAGAAACUUAAGAGAUGUGGCAACUAAUUGCAAAUGUGUAGAUUGUAUUUAGCUCAUGAUUCAAACAAACUAGAUAUGUGUUAUUAAAGAAUUAUGGUUGUUUUUGGUGUGA